rnacentral:pre_miRNA from 1 species
AGUGAGACAGCUGGGUCACAUGACGGUUCCAUUCUCAUUUUUUUUUCAGCAAACUCCCAAACUCCUUGCCAAAGUGGUUGUCCUAAUUUGCAUUUCCACCAGCAGU